GACGAACGCUGGCGGCGUGCCUAAUACAUGCAAGUUGAGCGCUGAAGGUUGGUACUUGUACCGACUGGAUGAGCAGCGAACGGGUGAGUAACGCGUGGGGAAUCUGCCUUUGAGCGGGGGACAACAUUUGGAAACGAAUGCUAAUACCGCAUAAAAACUUUAAACACAAGUUUUAAGUUUGAAAGAUGCAAUUGCAUCACUCAAAGAUGAUCCCGCGUUGUAUUAGCUAGUUGGUGAGGUAAAGGCUCACCAAGGCGAUGAUACAUAGCCAACCUGAGAGGGUGAUCGGCCACAUUGGGACUGAGACACGGCCCAAACUCCUACGGGAGGCAGCAGUAGGGAAUCUUCGGCAAUGGACGAAAGUCUGACCGAGCAACGCCGCGUGAGUGAAGAAGGUUUUCGGAUCGUAAAACUCUGUUGGCAGAGAAGAACGUUGGUGAGAGUGGAAAGCUCAUCAAGUGACGGUAACUACCCAGAAAGGGACGGCUAACUACGUG
rnacentral:rRNA from 1 species